UACGUAGGUGGCGAGCGUUGUCCGGAUUUACUGGGCGUAAAGAGCGCGCAGGCGGUCGUUCAAGUCGCGUGUGAAAGCCCCCGGCUCAACUGGGGAGGGUCACGCGAUACUGAUCGACUCGAAGGCAGGAGAGGGAAGUGGAAUUCCCGGUGUAGUGGUGAAAUGCGUAGAUAUCGGGAGGAACACCGGUGGCGAAGGCGGCAUCCUGGACCGGCAUUGACGCUGAGGCGCGAAAGCUAGGGGAGCAAACGGG
rnacentral:rRNA from 1 species